UGCUGCUACUGCCUGGACCUUAAGAGUUAAUCUCUCUUGGCUCAAGUCUCACUACCUUCCUAGGUAGCUUUUCAACCCCCCACACUCCUUUUUCCCUGCCUCUCCUCACUGCAACUCUUUCUCUGUGUUAAAAGUUAUAGGUUUUACAGAAACCUCCAAAAGAUAAAGCAAUUGAAAACAGAACAAAACAAGAAACAAAAAGAAAAUAAGGUUUUUUUAUUUGUUAUUCAAAGGAAAAAUGUAAGGGGAAACCUCAACAUUAAGGCCCCAUGAGGAAACCUGCUUGCGAACACUGCAGGAACACCAAAAGCACCAUGAGAUUGUCAUCUUCAUACAGAGGACCUUGAUUGCAAAGAUGAUAAUGUGAUGGAACCAGAAGUACUUGCAGUUGUAGUUUGGUCAAGAAGCAGGAUGCUGAUGACAAAAGGGCAUAUGGACAAACAAGGAGAGAGAUUAAGCAGAUGGGGGACCACAUGAAGUGGUUGGAAAAGCCCCCAGAAGCAGACCGAUAACAGUUAGCACUGUGACAGCAAAGAGAGAGUAAAAAGACACACUGAUUUGUUUUUUUAAACAUGCAUAAAUAAGUGACAUUUUUGCCUGUGCAGACAGUGAAGAUUGAAUGCCACACUGUCGUUUUUGAGCAGGCAGAAAUAAAGCUUGGGUUAUCAUGCAAAUAUGCUCAACAACACUCUUGGUGUCGUCCACGAAAGCUUAUGCUCUA